rnacentral:rRNA from 1 species
GACGGAGGAUGCAAGCGUUAUCCGGAAUUAUUGGGCGUAAAGCGUCCGCAGGUGGCUUUUCAAGUCUGUUGUCAAAGCGCGGGGCUUAACUCCGUACAGGCAAUGGAAACUGGGAAGCUAGAGUAUGGUAGGGGUAGAGGGAAUUCCCGGUGUAGCGGUGAAAUGCGUAGAUAUCGGGAAGAACACCAGUGGCGAAAGCGCUCUGCUGGACCAUAACUGACACUGAGGGACGAAAGCUAGGGAAGCGAAUGGG